CAGCACUAAGUCACUUUGUCUUUAUGGUAAAUGUGAGAUGCAGUGUAUGGAACAUCUUAAAUCUAGUAUGAGAAAUUAACGAUUUAAGUCCUUCUUAAAUGAGGCCAUUUACCCAUAGAGGGUGCCAGGCCCGUAUAACGUUAAUGAUUACUAGAAGAUGUUUCCAAAGAGUCGUGUUGCUUGAUAGUGCAGCACUAAGUGGGUGGUAAACUCCAUCUAAAACUAAAUAUAACCAUGAGACCGAUAGUAAACAAGUACCGUGAGGGAAAGUUGAAAAGAACUCUGAAUAGAGAGUUAAAUAGUACGUGAAACUGCUUAGAGGUUAAGCCCGAUGAACCUGAAUAUCCAUUAUGGAAAAUUCAUCAUUAUGAUUGUAAUAUUUAAAAAAUAUUAUAACAAUAGUGUGCAUUUUUUCCAUAAAAGGACAUUGUAAUCUAUUAACAUACUAUAUUUAUCAAAAGAUCAUUUGCUUAUGUUUAUUCCAAUUAGUUUGCUUGCAAGUUAACACAGAAUAAAUGCUUAUGAUUUGAUAAAGUGUUGAUAGAUUUUAUUAUAUGUAGUGCUUAAAUUCUUAGAAUUUUAUAAUGGCAUUGGAAUCAUCGAUUUCAGUGUUUAUUAUAUGCGCUUAUAUGAUUAACAAUGCG
rnacentral:rRNA from 1 species